UAUCAGUCAUGCAUAGCAUAUCAAUAAGCGGAGGAAAAGAAACUAACAAGGAUUCCCUUAGUAACGGCGAGUGAAGCGGGAAGAGCUCAAAUUUGAAAUCUUCAAGGUUUUACCUUGACGAAUUGUAGUUUAAAGAAGUGUUUUCUGUUGAAGUUUUGGUAAAAGUUCUUUGGAAUAGGACAUCAUAGAGGGUGAGAAUCCCGUAUUUGACCAUUAUUUUCAGCUGUGUGAUACACUUUCAAAGAGUCGGAUUGUUUGGGAAUGCAGUCCAAAAUGGGUGGUAAAUUUCAUCUAAAGCUAAAUAUUGGCGAGAGACCGAUAGCGAACAAGUACCGUGAGGGAAAGAUGAAAAGAACUUUGAAAAGAGAGUUAAACAGUACGUGAAAUUGUCAAAAGGGAAGCGUUUGACACCAGUGUUGUUUUCUCGAAAAUCAAUUAAAAAAAGUUGGAUUUUGUGCUGUAUUGACCUUAACAGCUUCCUGCACUCUUUUCCUGCUUUUUUUAAUGCACUUUUCGUUUAACAAGUCAACAUCAGUUUCUUUUGUUGUAAAAGGGUCAUUGGAAGGUGGCUUUCUUUUCGGAGAAAGUGUUUAUAGCCUUUGAUCUCUGCAAUCGGAGAGACUGAGGUCUGCAGCGUAGAUCCUUCGGGGUUAGAUACAUUUGUGCUAAGUUAUAACUUUUCAUAGACAACUUGUUGACUAUGUUUUAGUCAUGUAGCUUACUCGCUUAUGCUAUUUUACCUACGCUUAGGAUGUUGAAGAUGUAGCACAUCAU
rnacentral:rRNA from 1 species